rnacentral:rRNA from 1 species
GUCUAUGGCCAUACCACCCUGAACACGACCGAUCUUGUCUGAUCUUAGAAGCAAAGCAGGGUUGGGCCUGGUUAGUACUUGGAUGGGAGACUGCCUGGGAAUACAAGGUGCUGUAGGCU